rnacentral:rRNA from 1 species
GACGAACGCUGGCGGCGUGCUUAACACAUGCAAGUCGAACGAAGUGGCGAACGGGUGAGUAAUACGUGGGGAAACUGCCCUCCUUUUUGGGAUAAGCCUUGGAAACGGGGACUAAUACCGAAUAAAGGGGGAUGGGCUCGCGGCCUAUCAGCUUGUUGGUGGGGUGUUGGCCUACCGAGGCGGUGACGGGUCGCCGGCCUGAGAGGGUAACCGGCAACUUUGGGACGGUCAAGCGGCCCAGAGUACUACGGGAGGCGGCAGUGGGGGCAAUUGCACAAUGGGCGAUGGCCUGAUGCAGCGACGCCGAGUGGGGGCUGAGGGUUUUCGGGUUGUAAAACUGUGUCGCAAGCGAACGGGUAGGUGGAGAAGAAGCGCCGGCUAACUACGUGCCAGCAGCCGCGGUAAUAC